rnacentral:rRNA from 1 species
CCCUUAGAUGUUCUGGGCCGCACGCGCGCUACACUGAUGCAUUCAACGAGCCUAUCCCUGACCGACGGGUCCGGGUAAUCUUUGAAUCUGCAUCGUGACGGGGAUAGAUUAUUGCAAUUAUUAAUCUUCAACGAGGAAUGCCUAGUAGGCGCAAGUCAUCAGCUUGCGUCGAUUACGUCCCUGCCCUUUGUACACACCGCCCGUCGCUCCUACCGAUUGGGUGUGCUGGUGAAAUGUUCGGAUCGGCCGUUUGUCGCGGUUUCCGCGUCAUGUGGCUGAGAAGUUCAUUAAACCCUCCCACCUAGAGGAAGGAGAAGUCGUAACA